rnacentral:rRNA from 1 species
UACAGAGGUCUCAAGCGUUGUUCGGGAUUCAUUGGGCGUAAAGGGUGCGUAGGCGGCGCAGUAAGUCGGGUGUGAAAUCUUGGAGCUUAACUCCGAAACUGCAUUCGAUACUGCCGUGCUUGAGGACUGGAGAGGAGACUGGAAUUUACGGUGUAGCGGUGAAAUGCGUAGAUAUCGUAAGGAAGACCAGUGGCGAAGGCGGGUCUCUGGACAGUUCCUGACGCUGAGGCACGAAGGUCAGGGGAGCAAACGGG